GUGGGGAAUAUUGGACAAUGGGGGGAACCCUGAUCCAGCCAUGCCGCGUGUGUGAAGAAGGCCUUAUGGUUGUAAAGCACUUUAAGCGAGGAGGAGGCUACUCUAGUUAAUACCUAGGGAUAGUGGACGUUACUCGCAGAAUAAGCACCGGCUAACUCUGUGCCAGCAGCCGCGGUAAUACAGAGGGUGCGAGCGUUAAUCGGAUUUACUGGGCGUAAAGCGUGCGUAGGCGGCUUAUUAAGUCGGAUGUGAAAUCCCCGAGCUUAACUUGGGAAUUGCAUUCGAUACUGGUGAGCUAGAGUAUGGGAGAGGAUGGUAGAAUUCCAGGUGUAGCGGUGAAAUGCGUAGAGAUCUGGAGGAAUACCGAUGGCGAAGGCAGCCAUCUGGCCUAAUACUGACGCUGAGGUACGAAAGCAUGGGGAGCAAACAGGAUUAGAAACCCCAGUAGUCC
rnacentral:rRNA from 1 species